GAGAAUAUAGCUCAGUGGUAGAGCAUUUGCCUAGCAUGCACGAGGCCCUGGGUUUGGCUCCCAGCACUGCCA
rnacentral:tRNA from 1 species